rnacentral:tRNA from 1 species
GGGCUCGUAGUGUAGCGGUUAACACGCCUGCCUGUCACGCAGGAGAUCGCGGGUUCGAUUCCCGUCGAGACCGCCA